CAGAAUGUUUUGAUGAAAUAAAUAAUGAUGUAUACCAAACAAUUUUACUCUUAACCAGCUGCCACCUUAUUUCCUGCCAUUUUUAUCUACUGAGAGGUGAAUGCUUUAACUUUCUUGAGAAUAUACGUUUGGUAAAGGAGAAUAAUCAAAAAUUCAGUGGAUAAUAAUUUUUAUGAAUCAGUGGUGUUCUAAAAGAAAGCCAGUACUUGUGAUUUAAAAGCAAACCAAGAGGUAGCACUAAGAGAGCAGUACUUUGAAAUAACAUUCAGAUUAUUUUCUUUCAGAGAUGGUGGAGAAGAAGGAUUAUUUUCUUGCAGUUCAGUGGAUAGGUAAUCACCAGCAAGCAUGAAACUCUGACCAUAAAAAAGAGUGGCAUUGAAAUCCUUCUCUCAUCAAGUGCUUCAGACUAUUUAAAACUUAGGGUAGCAUCUAAAGGCCUCAGCUGCAGUGAGUAAGAGGUUAUUGAGACACAUUUAGGAUCUUUAAUUAAAACCAGUAAAUGUGGAGCUUUUAUAGUUUUUCUAGUUUACUAUUUACAAUUUAAAGUAAAAACAAAAUACCAUAGAAAUAAUUUGAUUGCACUUGUUAAGGAAAACUGGAAUGUGGUGACAGGGUACUAAGUAUAUAUAUUUUAAAAAAAUAUAAUGUACACAUCAGUUUUCACCUUAUUUUAUGUUAGGCUUCUUUAUAAACAGCAGAAUUCAGGUAUGUCACUUUGUUAUUUGUGAAUUGUCUAACUCUUAACUACAACUAGCUAAAUAUUGCUGGAAGUUACCUGAGGAUAAUUUGUAAAUAUAGACCCUUUGACAGCAUUUUCUUUCCUAGUACAGGUCCUUUUCAAGAACCCAGUAGAAAAAAAGACUUCUGGCAAGAACUGUUUUGAUAGCAGGCAUUUUAAACAACUACUAGGAGAAUAUUUGCUAUGGAUUUCAAUAUUCAGAUUAUAGUGUAAGAUGUUGUGGCCGUACUAUUUGUUUACCUUGGGUUUGGGGCUAUAAAAGGGUGUAAAUGUCUGAGAAAAGGUGUAUAGGUGUAUAUAUACACAUACACCUACACAUACACAUGUUCACAACCACACUCUUUGAAGUUGUGGGUUUUUUGAGAAAUGUAUACUCAUCUUUGUCUUAGAAAAAUCCUAGAGAUAGCACAGCUGAAAGCACUGUGAAAUCUUGCAUUCUCGUCCUAGAUGCUGCCAGAAAAAACAAGCCUUUUAUGCUUGAGGAGGCUUGAGAUGUUUUCCUGCCAGUUGCGAGUUCUACUUCUCAAACUAAAAGAGCAAGUAAUGUCUGUGAAAAAGUUUUCCUGACAGACGGCAUGCAGGCAUCUCUCCUGUGCUCUGCCAAUCCCUGAGAAGGCUCAAGGCAUUGUCCUGUAACUGACUGGCAUGUUGGGAAGUUGUAAACUGAAAUACGGGCCAGACAGACAGACUGGCAUUUUUUGGGCUUAGCAGAGGAAGCAAACACAAAGCUUCCUGGUUGGGGAAAGAGCACUGGUCCACAGCUUGCCUUUUCUUGGCACGGCCUGUCCAUUCCCAGGAUUGCUUACCUCUUCUGUAAGCAGUUUUGCCAGAUGUUUGCCAGUGAUGUUACCAAUAGAGGCAGGCACGGCAGGAGGGAGCGCGAGCUUUCCAGUGGAACACUUGAUGGCGGGGAUCUGCUGCAGGAGUGUCAACUGGGGCAUCUCUGAACUGGACUGGACAAUCUUGAUGACUCAGAUUGCUUACAGAACAGUUGUUAUGCGUUUUGAAGCAUCUGAAAUGAUGUUAAACUGUACUGCAAGCAGUGAGACUGGUGCUUUCCUAGGACAAAGUGAGGUAAAGAUUACUAGUAAUGUGCUGAUGAACAAGAAGUUGUCCCAAUUAUCGGUCUUUGGGAGGAUUAGGAUUCCUGCGUCUUCUAUGAUACCUAGAAGAAAAAAAGGCUGCAGUGAAUGAAAGCUUUGGACAGUCUUGGAUUUCCCUCAUGCUUUCACCCCCAGCAAGUGAUCUCAGUUUCAUCACUACUUACUCUGCAGCGGGGCCUGCUUACAAGCUGCUAGUGAACGCAUCCAGAAGAGGCUGGGCCACGCAGUUCUAAGUGAUGUUGCCAUGUUGGCAGCAGAAAAGAAACCAGUCCUGGACAAGAUGGAACUCAAAUGGACACCGUAACCUUUUUUCCUGUAGAAUACUUUCUGAAAGAAACCAGUUUCAAAGCUGUUCAGGGUAGAAAAGCCAAACAUUUUAAUUUCUUGAAUAUCAUAAAGGUAAAUAAAAUGUGUGCAGUAGAUUCUUCAUUAUUUA